rnacentral:rRNA from 1 species
GCGUCCGAGUUGUAAUCUGGAGAAGCGUUUUCCGCGUCGGACCGUGUACAAGUCUUCUGGAACGGAGCGUCAUAGAGGGUGAGAAUCCCGUCUCUGACACGGACUACCGAUGCUUUUGUGAUGCGCUCUCGAAGAGUCGAGUUGUUUGGGAAUGCAGCUCAAAAUGGGUGGUAAAUUCCAUCUAAAGCUAAAUAUUGGCCAGAGACCGAUAGCGAACAAGUACCGUGAGGGAAAGAUGAAAAGCACUUUGGAAAGAGAGUUAAACAGUACGUGAAAUUGUUGAAAGGGAAACGCUUGAAGUCAGUCGCGUUGGCCGAGACUCAGCCUGGCUUGCCUGGUGUACUUCUCGGUUGACGGGUCAGCAUCAGUUUUGACCGUCGGAUAAAGGUUGGAGGAAUGUGGCAUCCCUCGGGAUGUGUUAUAGCCUCUGAUUCGCAUACGGCGAUUGGGACUGAGGAACUCAGCACGCCUUUAUGGUCGGGGUUCGCCCACGUAACGUGCUUAGGAUGCUGGCAUAAUGGCUUUAAGCGACCCGUCUUGAAACACGGACCAAGGAGUCUAACAUGCCCGCGAGUGUUUGGGUGUUAAACCCGAGCGCGUAAUGAAAGUGAAAGUUGAGAUCCCUGUCGUGGGGAGCAUCGACGCCCGGACCAGACCUUCUGUGAC